CCUGCUGAGGCCGAGCCGUGAGCGCAGGACGGCAGCGGGGAGCGCGCGGCCGGGCCGGGCCCUGGCUGCCGGCCUGCCCGGUGCCGCCCGGCAGCGUCGCUGCCCUGGCACCACGGAGCAGCUCCUGGCCUCUGGGCUAGGUGGGUGCAGAGUCCACUGAUGAGAGCUGAGUGGCUGAGAUUCCUGUGGAAUGUGCUUUGGCUCUGUAUUGUACCUGCCCAGGGCAAAGAAAGAAACCAGGCAGACUGUAGCAAAGCUCCCUUUAUUGGCAGGAGUAAAGAGAACCCUAUCAGAGCAUUGAGAAAGCCUGUUCUUCUUUCUCCUCAAGCUGCGGAUCAAAUGAGAUUCAAAUAAAACGAAGGAAAUGUAAGCAA